UCCGUAGGUGAACCUGCGGAAGGAUCAUUACUGAGUGAGGGCCCUCUGGGUCCAACCUCCCACCCGUGUUUAUUAUACCUUGUUGCUUCGGCGGGCCCGCCGUCAGGCCGCCGGGGGGCUUCUGCCCCCGGGCCCGCGCCCGCCGAAGACAUCUCGAACUCUGUCUGAAGAUUGUAGUCUGAGUAUAAAUAUAAAUUAUUUAAAACUUUCAACAACGGAUCUCUUGGUUCCGGCAUCGAUGAAGAACGCAGCGAAAUGCGAUACGUAAUGUGAAUUGCAGAAUUCAGUGAAUCAUCGAGUCUUUGAACGCACAUUGCGCCCUCUGGUAUUCCGGAGGGCAUGCCUGUCCGAGCGUCAUUGCUGCCCUCAAGCACGGCUUGUGUGUUGGGCCCCGUCCUCCGAUCCCGGGGGACGGGCCCGAAAGGCAGCGGCGGCACCGCGUCCGGUCCUCGAGCGUAUGGGGCUUUGUCACCCGCUCUGUAGGCCCGGCCGGCGCUUGCCGAUCAACCAAAUUUUUAUCCAGGUUGACCUCGGAUCAGGUAGGGAUACCCGCUGAACUUAAGCAUAUCAAUAAGCGGAGGAAAAGAAACCAACAGGGAUUGCCCC
rnacentral:rRNA from 1 species